GACGGGGGGGGCAAGUGUUCUUCGGAAUUACUGGGCGUAAAGGGCGCGUAGGCGGCUACGCACGUCCGUUGUGAAAUCGCUCGGCUCAACUGGGCGGGGUCAGCGGAUACGGUGUAGCUGGAGCAAGCUAGGGGGCAAUGGAAUUCCCGGUGUAGUGGUGGAAUGCGUAGAUAUCGGGAGGAACACCAGUGGCGAAGGCGGUUGCCUGGAGCUUUGCUGACGCUGAGGCUGCGAAAGCGUGGGGAGCGAGUCGG
rnacentral:rRNA from 1 species